UAGGGAAUCUUCGGCAAUGGGGGGAACCCUGACCGAGCAACGCCGCGUGAGUGAAGAAGGUUUUCGGAUCGUAAAGCUCUGUUGUUAAGGAAGAACGAGUGUGAGAAUGGAAAGUUCAUACUGUGACGGUACUUAACCAGAAAGGGACGGCUAACUACGUGCCAGCAGCCGCGGUAAUACGUAGGUCCCGAGCGUUGUCCGGAUUUAUUGGGCGUAAAGCGAGCGCAGGCGGUUAGAUAAGUCUGAAGUUAAAGGCAGUGGCUCAACCAUUGUAGGCUUUGGAAACUGUUUAACUUGAGUGCAGAAGGGGAGAGUGGAAUUCCAUGUGUAGCGGUGAAAUGCGUAGAUAUAUGGAGGAACACCGGUGGCGAAAGCGGCUCUCUGGUAUGUAACUGACGAUGAGGCUCGAAAGCGUGGGGAGCGAACAGG
rnacentral:rRNA from 1 species